rnacentral:rRNA from 1 species
UACGAAGGGGCUAGCGUUGUUCGGAUUUACUGGGCGUAAAGCGCACGUAGGCGGUUUGUUAAGUCAGGGGUGAAAUCCCGGAGCUCAACUCCGGAACUGCCUUUGAUACUGGCAAGCUAGAGUCCGGAAGAGGUAAGUGGAACUCCUAAGUGUAGAGGUGGAAUUCGUAGAUAUUAGGAAGAACACCAGGUGGCGAAAGCGGCUUACUGGUCCGGAACUGACGCUGAGGUGCGAAAGCGUGGGAGCAACAGG